rnacentral:rRNA from 1 species
UACAGAGGGUGCGAGCGUUAAUCGGAAUUACUGGGCGUAAAGCGUGCGUAGACGGUUAUUUAAGUCGGAUGUGAAAGCCCCGGGCUCAACCUGGGAAUUGCAUUCGAUACUGCUUGGCUAGAGUGUGGAAGAGGGAAGCGGAAUUUCCGGUGUAGCGGUGAAAUGCGUAGAUAUCGGAAGGAACACCAGUGGCGAAGGCGGCUUCCUGGUCCAACACUGACGCUGAGGCGCGAAAGCGUGGGGAGCGAACAGG